AAAAAAAAACAUGAUAUAUAGGCAGCUAACUGUGCAAGCAAAUUUCAAGGAUGUUUCCUUGAAAUUUCAUGACUCCUUCCAUUCAAUUUCUGUCCUUCUCCUCUUCUUCCAUUGAAUUUCUCUCCUGACUUUGGUGACUCUCUCUCUCUCUCUCUCUCUCUGAUCUCUAUCUGCAUCUAGGCUACUGCUAACUGAAUUCUAGUUUCAAAACACAAACCAUAGCUGCUGUGCUGCAGAUUAAUUUUAACUAUUCGAUCUGGACUCAUAAAGGUUUUUGGCUUCUUCAUUGCUGAUUAGCUACCGCUAAGUUAAAUCCUUCCAGUUUCUAAAGACAAAUUAUGGCUGUUGCGCUGCGGGCCGGUAUAGAUCUAUUCUGGACUCUUAAAGACAAAAUGGAGCAGAUACUAUCGUUAGGUAAUAAAUUUGCAGGAUAUAUGGGUUUUGAUGAAAAUCUGGAAACUCUAAAAGCUGAAGUAGAUCAACUUCACAUGGAAGCGAAUGACAU